CCUUAGUGUUUCCCGAAAGGAGUUACCCUCUAAGGGGACUGCCCCGGACAACGGGGAGGAAGUGGGGAUGACGUCAAGUCCGCAUGCUCCUUACGUCUAGGGCUACACACGUCCUACAAUGGGGUCGACAGUGGGAUGCAAAGCCGCGAGGUGGAGCCAAUCCCCAAACGGCCUCUCAGUUCGGAUAGUAGUCUGCAACCCGACUACUUGAAGUCGGAAUCGCUAGUAAUGGCGGAUCAGCAUGCCGCCGUGAAUACGUUCCCGGGUCUU
rnacentral:rRNA from 1 species